AGGGAAUAUUGCGCAAUGGAGGAAACUCUGACGCAGCGACGCCGCGUGAACGAUGAAGGUCUUCGGAUCGUAAAGUUCUGUCCUUGGGGAAGAAGAUCUUCGGAUUUGACGGUACCCAAGAAGAAAGCCCCGGCUAACUACGUGCCAGCAGCCGCGGUAAUACGUAGGGGGCAAGCGUUGUCCGGAAUUAUUGGGCGUAAAGGGUGCGUAGGCGGCCAUUUAAGUCAGAUGUGAAAGCCCACGGCUUAACCGUGGGAUUGCAUUUGAAACUGGAUGGCUUGAGUAUCGGAGAGGGUAGUGGAAUUCCCAGUGUAGCGGUGAAAUGCGUAGAUAUUGGGAGGAACACCAGUGGCGAAGGCGACUACCUGGACGAAAACUGACGCUGAGGCGCGAAAGCCAGGGGAGCGAACG
rnacentral:rRNA from 1 species